GCAUGCCUCCUUAGUCGCUUCAGUCGUGUCUGACUCUUUGUGACCCUAUAGACUGUAGCCUGCCAGGCUCCUCUGUCCAUGGGAUUCUCCAGGCAAGAAUACUGGAGUGGGGUGCCGUUUCCUUCUCCAGGGUAUCUUCCUGACCCAGGGAUCGAACCCACAUCUCUUACAUCUCCUGCAUUAGGAGACCAAUCGACCAAUCCCAGUGCUGCUGACAAGAGCGCGGAUCUCAAUCCUUCUGGUCUGUGCGGACGUUGCCUUCCAAUCAAAGAAAACUUCCUGGACCCACAAGAUGUUCCACUACACCCUGCUUUCUCUAGCUCUGUGAACUGACUGACUGACUGAUUAAUAGAUGUCUGAAUUCAGCCUCCCCAACACUGAUUGCCAGGGGAGGGGCCCAGCAAGGCAUGUGGGAUCUUAGUUCCCCAGGGAUCGAACCCAUGCCCCCAGCAGUGGAAGCAGAGUGUUAACUACUGGACCUCUGGGGCAGUCCCCCUGCUGACAUCUAGAAUCAGAUUCUGGUCUCCUGCACUGUGAGAGAAUACAUUUCUGUUGCUUUGAGCCAUGGAGCUCACAGUCAUGUUAUCACCACCACAGGAAACCCCGACCUAAUCUGAAAGGGGUGAGCAAACGCAAGAACACACACAGUGGCCUGGCAGCUGAUGCUGUAACACCUCCCUCGGUCGCCAGCUUCACGUCCUCAGGCAAGCGGCUCAGCCUCUGAGCCCCAGUCUUUCCAUGUCACAGACUAGGCUCCAGUGCCCUGGGAUCCAUUACCCGUAUCCCCAUGAGGACCUGGUGCAUGGUGAAGCUGCUCAGAACAUAUUAGCCGUGUCUCUCCCUUAGCUGUCCCCACUCAGCACAGUGGCCACUGUCCCUCCUUCUCUGCUGCAGAAUGAAGAAGGGAAGGAGCCCAGGUUUGGGGUGGGAGAGAGCUGAGCCACUUACUGGCUCUAUGGUCUUGGACCAGAUAUACAUUCCCCAACCCCAGACCUCAGGACUUCACCAAGAAAAUGAAGAUAAGAAAAAUCUCCCUCAUACAGUCUGCAGUGACCUGAAAAUUUGCAUCCCCCAAAAUCCAUGUUGGAGCCCUAAAC
ensembl:lncRNA